CAUCUUUGAGAUACAAGGUUUUCACAGGUGUUUUUAUUUUGUUUCAUUUUUCACAGUUUUCCCUCCAUCGUGUUUAACUUGUGUACAUUUUGUAUUCCCCCUUCUAUUUUUUUAUGUUUUUCUCCAACACCUUGAUAUCCCACCAUCUUUUCUAUUUUUUUUUUACACUUCUUUCCCAUUCUUUUGACAUCUUGUUUUAACUUUUCAUUCUAUGUAUUUCUUUUUCUUUUCUGUCAUGUUUUAUCCUCCCCCUUCUCGUCAUCGUCUUCAUACCCUCUUUUUCUUGCCUCAUUUCCUUCCGUGUUUUUACUCCUGCUCCAUCUUUCUCCAUCACAUCUCCUCCUUAUUAUUGCUUUUCCCAUUCUUUAUUCCACCUCCAUCAUCAUUUUCUUUCAUCAUCUUGUUCCUCCUCUUCACCCUGAAGGAGCCCCCUGUGUCCAGGCCCCCCCUGAGACACUCUUGCUUAUCUUCCUCCCUCCCCCGUCGCCCAAGCACCUCCUCCCUGCACGUCCCCUCCUCCUCCACCUCCUUCACUACAGACCCAUCCUACCACCACCACCACCUCCUCCAACACCACCAACCCCGACACCACGGCCCCCCUGCUCCUGCACCUCCUCCACAGCACCCUCCCUUGCAGACAUCACGGCCCCCGAACUCGGGCCUCUCCUCCUGGGGACACUCAGGAGCUGGACCGGGCGUCCAGCAGCAGUUUCUGGUUGUGUCUGACCGGCACCAGGCUCUCUCAGGUCAAAGCCUCCACGGCGUCGCGUUGAGUUACGGCACUUUGCCCCGGGCUCCUCGGCGAGCGCCUCCUCCUCCCUCCUCCUGCUCCACCGCCUCCCUCCCCAGACCCAGAGCGGGCUCCGGUCCUGCCCCCCCUCUGCCAGCCCAACAGAGUCUCUACGCCACCCUCUGCCACCCUCGCCGUUCUGCCAACGCCACCAUUAACAGUCACUACCGGCAACCAUCGCUGCCCAUUAAUAUCAACGGGUCCAACCGUUACGCUCCGCACCACCUCAGGGGCCCCGGGGAGGCCCCCGCCCAGCCGCUCCGCCUGGACGUGCCCCCUGAGACCGACUGGCGUCGUGACGCCGACUACAGGACCGCCAGCUCCUCCUGGGACCCCCGCGCCGCCCGCCAACACCAGCCUCUCCAGCGGACCGUCUCCCAACAGCCUCCCCGGCCCCGCAGGGACCCCCAGCUCUGCUCGCUGUGCCAGCAACUUCCUGCCGAGCCGCCCCGCCCCUACUGUCAGUCCUGUGGCGCCUACGUGGCUCGGUUCCGCCCGGUCAGCUGAUCCGGUCCAGACUCGCCCCCCCCCCCCCACCCUUUGCAGAUGCCACAGCAGAAGAGUCUCUCCCCCCCCCCCCCCCCGAGAAGCAGCUACUUCACACCGACUCAACCUUUAUCCUCCGGGUUUUGGCCCCAUCCCGUCUCAACCUGGACGCCCGUCACAAGGAACCUGAAUCACACAGACGGAUCUCCGAUAUACAACCUAUGAAUGUCUGCUGGAUUUAAGCACAUAUUACAUUUAUAAUCUAGACAAAGCACCGUGAGAAGGACAGAACUGAAAAGCAGCGUGAUCAUGACGACAUUGCUGCGAACCUACGGUCAGUCAGAACUGAUGAAGGUUUGAUUUAAAAUAUGAGGAAACACUCGCAUCAAUAAACAGUUGGAGUUAUUAGUCUUCAUCUGCUGAAUGUCAGAUUGAUAAUAUACAUGAAAGGCAUGUUUUAUUUAAUUGUACAAACAAAAAAAAAAAACAUGAGCGCAAUUUUGAGUUUUAUCGUUGAAAAGAUAAUGGUUUAAAUAAUCUAAAACUAUUUAGAUAAGUAAUUAACCACUUUUUAAGUUAUUUUUCCAGUAAAAAUACCAAAACAACUCAUUUCAGGUUCGCAAAUGUGAGAGUUUUCUGCUUUUAUUUUGGUCACAUGAUAAUAAAUAUAAUAUUUUUUUGUCCAACCGUCAGCCAGAAACACCUUUUUUAUUUAGUAGACUACUUUUAAUACUUAACUCAAAACUAGUGACUAGAAUCUGCACAACACACUUAGUUAUCAGCUGUGGAUCACGUUUCAGUUUCUAUUUUAAAUGUGCCAAAACAUUUAUUUUGAAAGGUCAUAUUGGUUUUUUUUGUUGGUUUUUUUAACUGAUUACAUUUUUUUACAUUCAUCACAAUUUUUUAUAAAACAAAUGUGUGAUGAAUGCGUCGGAAACAAGUAAUUCCCAACAUUCACUUUGAUGAAGCAAAGUGUUUAUUGAUUUCAGUUUACGAAGAGCUUCAACUUUCUUUAUUGAUUUAGUUAUUUUUUUCAAAUUAAUCGUUUAAUUAGUCUGUGAAAUGUCAGAAAACUAGCAGAUAAAACAUCACUGAAGCUGGAACGAGAGAAUAUCUUUUUAGGACAUUUUUCUGUUUUUACAUAAAUGACCAAAAACAAUUAUGAAGGGAUUAUCAAAAAUUUGACGCCUGCCGCUUUUUUUUAAUUUUUAAUUUUUUUUUAAUUUUUAUCGAUUGUCGUGAAAAAUUGUCGAUAUUCAACUGAUCAUCAUUUCAUCUUUUUGGGUUGAAUAACAGUUUGAGAUAUUUCAGUUGGAGAUCGAUGUGUCAUGUUUUUUUGUGACAUUCUGAUCUUUUUAAUGCAGCUGAACGGACGUCGGGUUUGAAUUCACGACAGGAAGUUGAAAAGCUGCUUCCUCUCUGCCGUGUGUGUGUCUCAGAAUAUAAAAUCUACUCUACUUAUUACUCUAUUUAUUUUUGUAGGCUUGUCAGACUGAGUUGUGCAUAGAUGAAACUAUUCUACCUGAAUAUACUCUCCUACUAUAGUCUAAUUUUCUAAAGGUAGCUAGUCGCCUUGUUUUGGGAUGUGGAGCCUUCUUAUACCGUGCACAAGGCUGUUAGUGACUAAUAACUAAAGCUUUUAUUUUGACAGCUAAUAUUUAGCAUGAUGUUUUAUUAUAGCCUUGAGAGACGUUGGUGUACAUUUAUUGUCACGACAACAAUACGUGCAGAUCUUUCUUAGCGCAGCGACUCGACUGCAUUUAACUCUUUAAUAACUAUUUAGUGCACUUCAGAAGUGUUGAAGAUAGAUUUAUUUCAUGUGCUUGUUGCUAGUUUGUGUUGACGUCCUCCCGUUGUUAAGGGAGACGCUCCGCGUUGCGUUCAGGGGGCUUGUUUUCUUCUUUUUGGAUCGGUUUGAUGGAUUUAAUGAAGGAACACCUUUUUACACGAGGACGACAUUUUUAAUGACAACUGCAGAGUGAAUAUGUCCCGAGAAAUACACAAAUAAACUAGGGGUUAAACAUUUAAUUUAAAAAUAAUUUUAACUGCUGCAAUCUAUCUGCAGAUGUCUGAAGACGUUUGAUAAUUAUACUUUAAAGAUCACACGAAGAACCAAGGAGCUAAAUAUUAAUUGAUUAGUUGAUUUAUUGAUUCUCCAUCGUUGCAGCCACGAUGUCGCUCCAAACUCUCCUCCGUUGUUUGACUGACAGGAUGUUUAGUUUUAAAGUAAAACCUUUAAUUAAGUCCUGAGUUCAUCUUAAUAGUCAUGAAGUUAUUUUUGCUUUGCCAGAUUUUAUUUUGUUGAUUUUUUAUUUUUAUUUUUUUUUGGGGGAUAUAUUUUUUAUGCUUAUUUUUCUACAUUGUAGACUUAAGAGAUGAUGAUUAAAAUGUUUAAAGGAAAAGUUCUG
rnacentral:lncRNA from 1 species